rnacentral:rRNA from 1 species
UACGUAGGGUGCAAGCGUUGUCCGGAAUUAUUGGGCGUAAAGAGCUCGUAGGCGGUUUGUUGCGUCGGCUGUGAAAUCCCGAGGCUCAACCUCGGGCCUGCAGUGGGUACGGGCAGACUAGAGUGCGGUAGGGGAGAUUGGAAUUCCUGGUGUAGCGGUGGAAUGCGCAGAUAUCAGGAGGAACACCAAUGGCGAAGGCAGAUCUCUGGGCCGUAACUGACGCUGAGGAGCGAAAGCAUGGGGAGCGAACAGG